rnacentral:rRNA from 1 species
GAUGAACGCUGGCGGCGUGCAUAACACAUUCAAGUCGAACGAAGCAUAAAGAAGAGCUUGCUCUGAAGUAUGACUUAGUGGCGGACGGGUGAGUAACGCGUGAGCAACCUGCCUUUCAUUACGGGAUAACGGUCGGAAACAGCCGCUAAUACCGUAUAAUGUAUACCGAUUGCAUGGUUGGUAUACCAAAGAUUUAUUGAUGAAAGAUGGGCUCGCGUCUGAUUAGACUAGUUGGUGAGGUAACGGCUCACCAAGUCGACGAUCGGUAGCCGGACUGAGAGGUUGAACGGCCACAUUGGAACUGAGAUACGGUCCAGACUCCUACGGGAGGCAGCAGUGGGGAAUAUUGGGCAAUGGGCGAAAGCCUGACCCAGCGACGCCGCGUG